GGAAGUAGACACCGAUGUACCAACAGAGGUGCCCUGCCUUGCCUUUAAAUAUCUUACUGAAAUAUUGAAUUUCGUCUUUUACAGUGGCAAAAUCUAACUGCGACAAUGACGAAAUUGGACAUGUUGAAUUUGUAUCUCAAUGAACGUUUAAAGGUGGCUGCAGAUGAGAUAUUUCAGGUUAUCAAGGACACGAUACUAGAAUAUCAGAACGAAAUCGCCCUUACGAAAGAGGAAAACCGUGACUUAAAACAAAGACUGUCCGAUGUCGGUACUAUCUCCGCUGGCAUACAACGAGUGCUUUCUGCAGAGAGACAACAUCUUGAGCUUGAGCCUCCGUCUGCCUGUGAAUACGAGGACAGUACCGGACCCGUCCCGGACCCACCAGAAUCCCCGGAAGUAAUAGAAGUGAAAUAUGAAGAAAGCUUUCCCAUCCCGGUCACACCUGGAGGAGAAGAGCCACAGGAGAUACCAGUCACGACACCCCCCCUCUUUAAUACUGACAAUGAGCAGCGGCUACCCAACACCUUCCCAAGUUACUCGCCACAUAUGUCAGAAGCCAGUGAGCUGGAUUCCAUCUCAGUUGGCCCGUCACACCCAAUCAAAACAGAGUCCUGUUCUGAGGAAUGCAGUAGAAUAGAAUUUAACACAGAGCAGCCACAUUCCAGCUCCAUGCGUCCUGAUUGCGCUGUGGAGGACCGUGGCGUAGGGUACCUGCCACAGAGCUGUGUCCAGGGUCCGAGCACUCUGUGUGGGAGAGACCUGGCCGAGCUUCCGUCCCAGACCUCGUCCAUGGAGGCCCACCAUGCCCGCGCCGGAACGCCGUUUUACUGCUCGCUGUGCGGUAGGUGCUUCGGCAGCGCGCGGGACAUGACCAUUCACAGGCAGUUGGCCCACGGCAAGGAGAAGCCGUACCGCUGUGGCGUGUGUGGCAAGAGCUUCCGGUACUCGGGCAAGUUCAAGGAGCACCAGCGGAUCCACACGGGCGAGAGGCCGUACCGCUGCCACGUGUGCUUCAAGGGCUUCAACCAGACGGCACACCUGAAGGUACACCUGCGCAUCCACACCGGGGAGAAGCCCUACAGCUGCCCGCUGUGUGGCAAACGCUUCAGCCAGUCCAGCCAGAUCAAGGGGCACCUCAGGACACACAGCCGCCACAACACAUUCACGUGAGACGUGAGCCAACACACAGUCACCAAAACACACUCAUGUUAGCUCAGCUACACGCUAUCUAGCCUCCUGCGAGAGAGGGCCAGGUGAUUGCUAGCCUACUGCCAGAGACGCCAGGUGAUUGCUAGCCUACUGCCAGAGACGCCAGGUGAUUGCUAAAGACGGCCAGGUGAUUGCUAGCCUACUGCCAGAGACGCCAGGUGAUUGCUAGCCUACAGCCAGAGACGCCAGGUGAUUGCUAGAGACGGCCAGGUGAUUGCUAGAGACGGCCAGGUGACUGCUAGCCUACUGCCAGAGAGGGCCAGGUGAUUGCUAGCCUACUGCCAGAGACGCCAGGUGACUGCUAGAGACGGCCAGGUGAUUGCUAGAGACGGCCAGGUGACUGCUAGAGACGGCCAGGUGACUGCUAGAGACGGCCAGGUGAUUGCUAGAGACGGACAGGUGAUUGCUAGAGACGGCCAGGUGAUUGCUACAGACGGACAGUUGAUUGCUAGCCUACUGCCAGGGACGGACAGGUGACUGCUAGCCUACUGCUAGAGACUGCUAGCCUACGGCUAGAGACGGCCAGGUGACUGCUAGAGACGGCCAGGUGACUGCUAGCCCACUGCUAGAGACGGCCUGUGCCCUCCUGGUCUCUCAGGGUCAGGUGGUCAUCUCCAGCUGCAUGGCUCAGUGCUUGAAAAUAAGUCAGCCUUUGCACAAUUCAUUGGUGUCAGAUAAAUCAUCGGCUGAUGGUGGCCAAAGGAUAAUCAGAUAAAUCAUGGGCUGAUGAUGGCCAAAGGAUAAUCAGUGUCUUAUUGCAGCAGGCACAUUCAUAGGGCUGAAUCUUGUGUUUGUUA